GGCAAGAUUUUAAAAAUUUUCCUUCUCAAUGAACUAAAGUUCACAACUGUCAUCAUGAAAAUCACCUUUUUGUUUUAAUAUAUUUAUUGUAGAAUCAGAUCUUAUGGUUCCAACUUAUUCCCUCUAAUUGCCCAUAGUUUUAAAAACAAGGAGGAAGGAAAAUCCUAUUUAUUAUGUUAAAGAUAUCUUUGACUCGGAUAUAGUAGCUCAACAAACUUCUACCUCUAUGUCCUGUCAGUUUACAGAAUACAGGAUGGAGGAAUUAAUAGUUGACUUUUCCAGGCUAACAGGUUCAAGUGCAACAUUAGAAACUUAUGGAAAUUCUUGUCUGGCACAUAGUGAAGACUUUGAAGUUAAGGAAGUUGAGUUAUGGGUCUUUGUAUAUGCUUCCAAGUACGAAGAGAUGGUUUCCAUUUUGCGAACAGAGACCCCUGGAAUUUGCUGCUGGUAACACAACUUUCAUAUGCUUGCCUUCCAAUCUAAUGAUCGUUUCCAUGGUUGUGCACAACAUCAUGCGCAAUGCAAGAUAGGUUUUCUACAUAUCUUUUCACAUGUUCAGCAACAAUGUUACACCUGUAUAACUGUGUUUCCUUACAUGUACAGUGAACCAUUUUGAUAAAAAUGCUCUUUGGUUCGGCAUAUGAGAAUGAACGUGAGAGCUAACUGAAAAUAUUCAUUAAACUCUGAGCCUUAACGUGUUGUGAUGCUGCUGCUGAUUUUUUUAAUGUGGUGAAUUAAGAUUUCAAUA